rnacentral:lncRNA from 1 species
GACGCCCUCUGGGUAGAAAUCAGCGGCAGAGGUCAGAUGCCCUGAGAUUGCUGGGGUGGCCUGGGGCAGCCGUCUGCUCCUCCUGUCCCCAAGCGUGCCCAGCCCUGGCUUGGGUGAGAGGGAGGGGGGUGGCCUUGGCCUGUCUGCGGUUCCCUUCCUGCGGGGACAGGAUCACUUGAUCUCAGGAGCACGUCCUGCCCCAGCCUUGGCUGCUCUCCAUGAGGGAUUCUGCUCUGGCUCUCAUAGCCUCAAGCCUAUAGGACUCCAGCUUGUGGAAUUUUCAGGCCUCUCCAAGGGAAGCCCAUUUUUCAGAUGAAAAAACUGCAGGAGAGCUGGGCAGGGACCAUCUCCAACACGGGCUGAACUCCGUCGCUUUCUCCUGGGUGAUGCUGAUGGCUCGGCUCAGCCUUUCCUAACGUGUGCGCUGGUCUCCCCAGUCGCAGCCAGGCUCUGAGAGGGAGCAGAGGGGCCCUGGGGCAGGAGGGCUGGGACCUGGUGCUGGCUCCGGUGACCACACACAUUGGCUUUGGGGGAGUCAGCGUCCCCCUGCUCAGGGCCGCCUCUCAGAGUGGCUUUCAGGAUUAACUGAGGUGAUAGGUGUGAAAUCCUUUACAACCUGUCAAGUAUCAUGCAGAUAACUAUUUUUUGUACCCCGGCCAGCCUGUGCUAUGUCAGACGUUCUCGGAUGAAGAGUUCAUCAACCAUGUGGGGGUCAACCAUGCCUGCCCCAGGCCCCUUCAUGACACAGGACGCUCGGGCGAGGACUCCUGAGGGCUCGAAAUGUGCCUGCAAGUUGGAAACGACCCCAAGCACAUCCCGAAGAGUUGAGGCUGGGUCGGGGAGGAAGGAAGGGGUGAAGGAUGUCAGAACCACUGAGGGAGCGGAAGCGGUGCCCAGGAAGUACCUCAUUGCAUACCCCCAGCUGUGAGACUGGGGUGGGAACCCACUAGGAUCUGGACCCCAGAGGCCUUUGGAGGAGAACAGUGCACCUUAAGCCAAUGUUAACUGAUGC